GCGGAGGAAACAUGUGGUUUAAUUCGAUGAUACGCGAGGAACCUUACCCGGGCUUGAAUUGCAGAGGAAGGAUUUGGAGACAAUGAACGCCCUUCGGGGUCUCUGUGAAGGUGCUGCAUGGUUGUCGUCAGCUCGUGCCGUGAGGUGUCGGCUUAAGUGCCAUAACGAGCGCAACCCCUCUCCUUAGUUGCCAUCAGGUCAAGCUGGGCACUCUGGGGACACUGCCACCGUAAGGUGUGA
rnacentral:rRNA from 1 species